rnacentral:lncRNA from 1 species
UAGAAACUCAGCUCCUUGCUGUGAGGUCUUUACAGCUCGUUUGGCCUCUGAGUUCCUCAUUUAUAAAAUUAGGACUGAAGUGUACAUGGAGGCCAAUGUACAUGGACCCCAAUACCCCACUGAAGACUUGGUGCAUGCAUGCAGAGAGUCCUGGAAGUAUCUACGGUGUGCUCAGAAAAAGGCAGGAGGAAGGAUGCUGUCUGUGCACAGCUUUGGUCUGCUGAUGAGGUCUGACUGCAAGAGAAUCCCAGUGGCAAUGAACUGAUGUGGUUGUGUUGUAUUUUUAAGGUGGGAUCAAAUUUCUUUAUUU